CGGAGGAUCAUCUGGCUUGGGACUGGGCAGCAGAUUGGGGGUGAUAGGGAGAUGUCUCCAAGUCGGUCUCUAAGUAGGAUGUUUGUAGGUAGAGGGAAAAGGGCACGCGGUGACCCAGUAGAGGGUUCAGAUUGAGUUCCAGUGCGUUCUGAAGAUAAGGAGGGGAACAGGGCCCAGGAGGCCACACUGGAGAGGCUGAGGGUGGCCGUCACUGCGUCCCAAGGAACACCAGGGCCCAACCUGGGUCUUUGUCUGUCCGUCUCUGCCACCCUUCCUCCCGGGCCUGGGAUCUCAUGCAGGAAGUAUCAAGCACUCUGGGCCCAGACCAGCUCUUCCAAGGGAGCGUCAGGGUCCAUCUGGUCCAGUUUGGCCCCCACGGCGUCUUCGGCUUCAUCAUCCCCAGAGCAGAUGUGCUCAGCUCCUUUCUUCUCGGACCACCUGAAGCCAGUCCCCAGCUGCAAAGACAUUAUCGGACCUCAGGCCCAAAGCAGCCCGGCCCCCA
rnacentral:lncRNA from 1 species